AAUUUAUAACCUGAUUUUUGUGGACCUGUGGGCUCAAAUGAGAGAGGCCCAAGUCCAAAAUUUUUUUGUUAUAUUUUAUUUAUUUUUUAUUUUAUUUUAUUUUAUUUUUCGUUUUUUUUUGUUUUUUGUUUUUUUUUUUCGUUUUUCGUUUUUUUAAACACGUGGGCUUCGCCUAGCGAGCAUGACAGUUCAAGAAAUUC
rnacentral:lncRNA from 1 species